ACUCCUACGGGAGGCAGCAGUGGGGAAUAUUGCACAAUGGGGAAACCCUGAUGCAGCCAUGCCGCGUGUGUGAAGAAGGCCUUCGGUUGUAAAGCACUUUCAGUAGGGAGGAAGGUAGUGUAGUUAACACCUGCAUUAUUUGACGUUACCUACAGAAGAAGCACCGGCUAACUCCGUGCCAGCAGCCGCGGUAAUACGGAGGGGUGCGAGCGUUAAUCGGAAUUACUGGGCGUAAAGCGCAUGCAGGCGGCCUGUUAAGUCAGAUGUGAAAGCCCGGGGGCUUAACCUCGGAAUUGCAUUUGAAACUGGCAGGCUAGAGUCUUGUAGAGGGGGUAGAAUUUCAGGUGUAGCGGUGAAAUGCGUAGAGAUCUGAAGGAAUACCAGUGGCGAAGGCGGCCCCCUGGACAAAGACUGACGCUCAGAUGCGAAAGCUGGGGAGCAAACAGGAUUAGAUACCCUGGUAGGAUAGCG
rnacentral:rRNA from 1 species